rnacentral:rRNA from 1 species
UACGUAGGCAGCAAGCGUUGUUCGGAGUUACUGGGCGUAAAGAGUGCGUAAGCGGUCUUUUAAGUUUGGUGUGAAAUCUCCCGGCUCAACUGGGAGGGUGCGCCGAAAACUGGGAGGCUUGAGGAUGGGAGAGGCAUGCGGAAUUCCUGGUGUAGCGGUGAAAUGCGUAGAUAUCAGGAGGAACACCUGCGGUGUAGACAGCAUGCUGGACCAUUUCUGACGCUGAGGCACGAAAGCGUGGGUAGCAAACAGG